AUGGGAUGGCUAAGUUAAUUUCUGGUGGCCGUAGCUUUCUUAGCCAUCGAUUCUCUCCGAAUACCUUUGGAUCAAAUUCCAUCAAUCAGCUACCGACUUACAUGAAACUAGCUCACCUCCUUUUGGUGCCGCUCUUUGGGUAACCUUCAUCGGUGGCAUCAUCAUGUUCAAGAAUCUACCAAGGCAUCAGUUUGGCAAUUUGCAACGUAAGAUGUUCCCUGCAUAUUUUUGGUUGGUGGGGUUGUGCUGUGCCAUAUCUGUGGCAUCAUUUGGUUAUUUGCAUCCAUGGAAAUCAGCAUUCACUACGUGGCAUUAACGAGUUGCUUGUUGUCUCUCUGAGGUUUUUAUUGUAUUCCAUGUGUUAGUGUUUUAUGUUUUUUCUUAAAUUUGUGCAUUUUGCUUUGACUUGGCUAUUUAGAUGAUGAGGCAAAGGCACAAGGUGGAGCGAGAACAGAACAUUGGAAAUGAAGUUGGGUGGUCACAGAACCAGGAAGUUGCAAAGGUUAAUCCAAAGCUUGCUGCAAUGAACAAGAAAUUUGGCAUGAUCCAGGUUUUUCAUCCCUUGCUAAUAUUAUGUCUUUUGGAAGCCUAGCCAUGCACUCUUGGUACUUAGCAGGAAAGAUGACUCUGUAAUUUGCACUUCGGAUGAAGGUUGUUACUGGCUAUGAAUUAAAGUGCUUUCUGACUGUUCCUGGCCAAGCUAUAGUGGUGGAACCAGAAAUUGGCAUUUUAUUUUCUCUUAUAAAA